rnacentral:tRNA from 1 species
GGAGAGGUGCGAGAGUGGUUGAAUCGGCACGACUGGAAAUCGUGUGUACGUUAUGCGUACCGUGGGUUCGAAUCCCACCCUCUCCGCCA